UACAGAGGGGGCAAGCGUUGUUCGGAAUUACUGGGCGUAAAGGGCGCGUAGGCGGCCUUCUAAGUCGAACGUGAAAUCCCCGGGCUCAACCCGGGAACUGCGUCUGAUACUGGAUGGCUUGAGUUCGGGAGAGGGAUGCGGAAUUCCAGGUGUAGCGGUGAAAUGACGUAGAUAUCUGGAGGAACACCGGUGGCGAAGGCGGCAUCCUGGACCGACACUGACGCUGAGGAGCGAAAGCCAGGGGAGCCAAAGCGGG
rnacentral:rRNA from 1 species